UGGGGAAUUUUGGACAAUGGGGGAAACCCUGAUCCAGCCAUGCCGCGUGCGGGAAGAAGGCCUUCGGGUUGUAAACCGCUUUUGGCAGGAACGAAACGGCGCGCGCCAAUACCGCGCGCUAAUGACGGUACCUGCAGAAUAAGCACCGGCUAACUACGUGCCAGCAGCCGCGGUAAUACGUAGGGUGCAAGCGUUAAUCGGAAUUACUGGGCGUAAAGCGUACGCAGGCGGCUAUGCAAGACAGGUGUGAAAUCCCCGGGCUCAACCUGGGAACUGCACUUGUGACUGCAUGGCUAGAGUCCGUAAGAGGGGGGUGGAAUUCCACGUGUAGCAGUGAAAUGCGUAGAGAUGUGGAGGAACACCGAUGGCGAAGGCAGCCCCCUGGGAUGAGACUGACGCUCAUGUACGAAAGCGUGGGGAGCAAACAGG
rnacentral:rRNA from 1 species